GAUAAAGGAAGAGAUAGCAGAGAUAUAGAGACGUGUCUUCAGCUUCCUCGAGACAUCCUGCCAGAUAUUGGCAGAAUCUGGGCUACAGCUUGGAAAACACAGAAAACAUCUAUACAGCCUACUGCAACAUGGCAGUGAGGCCAGGAAGCUGAGCACUUCCUUGAGGUCUCCUUGGAAAUCUCUUUGGCCAGUCACCUGAGUAUGCUAGGAAGAAUGUUCUUAAGGCAUGGAUAAGAGGUAUCCAACUUACAUAUGUCAGCCCAGCAAGUUCAUCCAGUGUCAGAAUUUACGAAAAUAAAGGUCUUAAGUCCUUUCA